AAACGAUAUAACUGCAAAAGGUGCUGGUUCAAUAGCAGCCUGUGUAGCUACAAAACAAUUCCUCAGUAAGUUAUAUUUGGCUGAGAAUGAACUGAAGGAUGAUGGUGUGAUUUUAAUUGGCAAGGCACUCCAGGAUGGACAUGGUCAAUUGAGCGAAGUCGACAUUAGCACAAAUUCAAUCCGAAGGGCUGGGGCAAGAUUCAUAGCACAAAUAUUAGUGCAG
rnacentral:misc_RNA from 1 species